AAGUCGUAACAAGGUUUCCGUAGGUGAACCUGCGGAAGGAUCAUUAACACGUAUCCAAACGUUAAAACCCCCCCCGUGAACCUUCAUCCUGCUCUUGUAACCCGCGUAGUUCGCAAUCUCUGAUAAAUCAUAGCCCGGAAAGUUGUAGUGAUUCAGAGACCUCUGGCUACGUGCGAACAUUGGAACAGUUACAAUCGAGCGGUAGUUCUAUAGGCAAUGUUUCCCCAAGCAGUGAGUGUCGGAAAGUGUCAUUGAUUGUGCAAGGAUAGCGCUUCUACGAUCCCUGUAGACCGUACACUCGGAUAAAAAAACCGAACAACUGUUAACAAUGGAUAUCUUGGUUCUC
rnacentral:misc_RNA from 1 species